AUAAAAAAAAAUUCAUUUCAGUAGGCCUUUAAGGUAAUGACUGAACUAAAACAAAAGCUGGAAAGAAGGAUGAAGGACAGGUUCUUUGGGUUUGCUGUCAACACCAAACUGAAGCAGCUGCCCCCUUACCAGUCAAAAAAAUGUGAGGCUGAUUUUCUGCUUUUUUAUGAAAGAGCAAAGAAAUAAAUAAGUGAAAGAUAUGACUUCUCUGACACGAGCUUUUAUAGCAAAGUAGACAAGCUUGGCCUCACAACUGCUGUGCCAUUUGAAGACUACAGUGCUGCUGUCCAGGCCUGCAAUCUGGACAUUGAUAUGGAUGGACUGUAUGAGGAAUAUGCCAUGGUGGAAAGUUCCUUCAGUUCACCAGAAAUGGAAGGUUGCCACAGUGAGGAACGAUAUUUGAAACUGUUUUCCAAAGCAGAUGUACCAUUUGUGAAUCUCAGGAAGGUCAGCACCUACAUUUUCUCCAUCCCAUGCAGCAAUGCACACACAGAACGUGUCUUUUCAAUGAUGACAACUGCAUGGAGAAACGAGAGGAAUCGUCUGGAUGUGGACAGCGUCAAGGCUGAGCUGCAAAUGUGUGUCAAUUUCACCCAACCCUGCACAGAGAUGUACAAGAAGUUCACCCUAAACAAAAAACUCUUGGAUGCAGCCAGGAAAGAACAGAAGUAUUUCAGAUAGACAAUCAACUAUUUUGUCUCUGCAGGAUAUAAAAGGCCCAGGUGCAGUGGGGGCUUGGAAGCCAUGAUGACAGAGGGGCUGUUGAUCCUGAGCUGCUACAGAGGGUGAAUGUGGAGUUUGCUUAAAGACUGGUCUGCUGCGCACACACACAGACACUGAAGACAAGUCCCCAAAAGACUGAAGCACUUUAGAAAUGCUAUGCUUUUUGAGCAGUUGAAUGUUUUCUUGUUUGUUUGUUUGUUACAAUCUCCUUUGUUGUUUAUAUAAAAGGUUAUUCAGGCUUUUUUAAAAAGCAUUUUUUUUUUAAUUAUACAUGUUACCUGUUAAUUGUUGUUUACAUUUAAGUCCACACAUGUUAUGCUUUGUGGCACUCUGCACUUGCAAAGAUUCAUCUCAGUGGUCACUUUUUGAACACCACAACGUAUUGAAUAAAUACAAAUACUGUUAACAAACA